rnacentral:rRNA from 1 species
UAAGGAAUUUUGGACAAUGGGCGAAAGCCUGAUCCAGCCAUGCCGCGUGAGUGAAGAAGGCCUUCGGGUUGUAAAGCUCUUUUAGUCGGAAAGAAAGAGUUGCAAUGAAUAAUUGUGAUUUAUGACGGUACCGACAGAAAAAGCACCGGCUAACUACGUGCCAGCAGCCGCGGUAAUACGUAGGGUACGAGCGUUAAUCGGAAUUACUGGGCGUAAAGGGUGCGCAGGCGGUCUUGCAAGUCAGAUGUGAAAGCCCCGGGCUUAACCUGGGAAUUGCGUUUGAAACUACAAGGCUAGAGUGCAGCAGAGGGGAGUGGAAUUCCAUGUGUAGCAGUGAAAUGCGUAGAGAUGUGGAAGAACACCGAUGGCGAAGGCAGCUCCCUGGGUUGACACUGACGCUCAUGCACGAAAGCGUGGGGAGCAAACA